ensembl:lncRNA
CUUUGCUGUGUGAUGUGUGUGAAGAGGUCAGCGAUGACACUGACUCGACUUUCUAAAAGCUUUAUUCCAUUUUAUUUGUAAAUAUCUUUUAUGAACAACAAGAAAAUAUAUAUUUAUAUAUAAUAUGCAUUUUAACUUGCUAUUAUUUACACUGUUUACAUUAUUACUGUGAAAAGGUACAGAAUCAGAACCGAGUGUGUUUCUGAUGGAACCGGUUCUGUACUGUGUGUGUGUGUGUGUGUGUGUGUGUGUGUGUGUUCAUGUAUAUACAUUCAUCAGGAAAUAGAAAUCAAAUCAUCAUCAUAUGAGAAACGUUUCAUAUCCAUCAGGAGGAAUGUAAAAGUUUUAGCUCCCUGUCUGAACAUGUGCUUGACACGCUGGACUUUCAAAACUGGUCCAAACAGGAGCCAAGGGUACUCCGGGUUCUGGCUCAUUUUCCAGCAAUUUGAGAAACCGGAACAUUUUCUGGUGAGUCAUCAGUUCACUGCACAAUUAAUCUUACAUGGCCCGAGUGCUUGGAUUGACCUGCUUAUUUGUAUCUGAUUUUUCUGCAUAAAUCAAACUCAUCCUCCAUAAUGUUCCCCCAGCAGUGCUGAUUUAGCUCCACCCCAACAUGUUCCCCCAGCAGUGCUGAUUUAGCUCCGCCCCAACAUGUUCCCCCAGCAGUGCUGAUUUAGCUCCGCCCCAACAUGUUUCCCCAGCAGUGCUGAUUUAGCUCCGCUCCAACAUGUUCCCCCAGCAGUGCUGAUUUAGCUCCGCCCCAACAUAAUGUUCCCCCAGCACAGUGCUGAUUUAGCUCCGCCCCAACAUACUGUUCCCCCAGCAGAGUGCUGAUUUAGCUCCGCCCCAACAUACUGUUCCGCCAGCAGAGUGCUGAUUUAGCUCCGCCCCAACAUACUGUUGGUGCUGAUCCAAAAACCUACAACUGGAGCCUGUAGUGCUGAGACGGUGGCAGGAAAUGUACCAGAAUUUCUGUUCCUGAGCUGUGUGUCAGUACUGUGACAUAUUAAAUAGGUGCUUAGAUGUCCCUGUGUGUGUGUGUGUGUGUGUGUGUGUGUGUGUGUGUGUGUGUGUGUGUGUGUGUGUGUGAAUGUGUGUGUGUAAGCUGGUGAAAGACAUUGAGUUCUCACUACCUUUGUAUGCUACACACAGUUCCAGCUGUGUAUAUACACACAGUAUACUCUGCACUAACACACGUAUCUCUCUGUUCUGUCUUCUAAACAGUCCGGGGUUUAACUCUGGCACAGACACAGUGAACGGUUCCACAUCCCCAAUAAUAAUUCAGUGUUCAGUAAAGUUCUCCUUUAGCAGCAUGUCACACAGCAGGUGUGUCCGAGACCACGCUCCCGACAGCACACAGCUCUGUGGAACCAGAACCCAGAACCCAGUCCUGAGCUUCAGCACAGGAGAACCUUACAGU